rnacentral:rRNA from 1 species
ACGAAGGGGGCUAGCGUUGUUCGGAAUCACUGGGCGUAAAGCGCACGUAGGCGGAUUGAUAAGUUAGGGGUGAAAUCCCAGGGCUCAACCCUGGAACUGCCUUUGAUACUGUCAGUCUAGAGACCGAGAGAGGUGAGUGGAACUCCGAGUGUAGAGGUGAAAUUCGUAGAUAUUCGGAAGAACACCAGUGGCGAAGGCGGCUCACUGGCUCGGUACUGACGCUGAGGUGCGAAAGCGUGGGGAGCAAACAGG